GCGUUGUUCGGAUUCAUUGGGCGUAAAGGGUGUGUAGGUGGCGCGCUAAGUCGGGUGUGAAAUUUCGGAGCUUAACUCCGAAACUGCAUUCGAUACUGGCGUGCUUGAGGACUGGAGAGGAGACUGGAAUUUACGGUGUAGCAGUGAAAUGCGUAGAUAUCGUAAGGAAGACCAGUGGCGAAGGCGGGUCUCUGGACAGUUCCUGACACUGAGACACGAAGGCCAG
rnacentral:rRNA from 1 species